GAUCCUUUAAAGUGAUGUCUAAGUUUGUGGCUCUUUAUUACCUCAUUCACAAAAUGGGGAUCAUUGUGACUAUAUAUUUUCUCAGGAAUGCCAUCAGUAUUUGUAUGGACCACUCUGAUUCAAUUCAAUGUCCAUACAAAUAUUCUGAAAAGGGUAUUCUGGUUCCGGGAAUUUACCUCUCAGUAGUCUCAUAUUUCCUUGUGCAUUAUGCUUUAUGUAUAGUACAUGCUUUACAAAAAAUUUUUUUUAGUAAGUAUUAAAUCCAUAGAUUAUAAAAUGUUCCUCGUAUAAAAUGUUCCUCUAUUACUUUAUACUCCCCCCUGUUGAGAUAUUGACAAAGCCCAUGGCUCAAACAAUUAAUUAUGAGUUAUUGACUUUCCCGUAGAGGUCUUCAUACAUCUUCGUUCCCAUUGUUUUUCCAAUCAAAAACAACAAAUAAUCAACCAAACAAAAAACAAAAACAAAAAAAGCAAAAAAAUUAAAACAAAAAUUGAAAAGGCUUACUGACAACUGUUUGGACAGUUCACUCUAGAAAUGGUUGGGUUAAAAACAACCCAAUUGGCAACCCAGCGCUGGGUAAAUAUUGGACAGAACACAUGCUGGGUUAAAGUAACCCAGCACGUUGGGUAACACAUUUUAACCCAGCAGGUUGGGUUGUUGAGAAAACCCAACAUGUAGUCAUGUUAAAGGUAUAGCGGAAGAUUUUAGAUUUCCGGGUGGAUCACCUAUAACAUUGGUCCUCCUAGCUGUCAAUCAUUCUGAUAAUAUGCUUACGUAACGCCGUCUUACGUGCUCGUCCCUCGUCCCCAGCUUCCGAUUUGUGCGCAUGCGCACUUUCAAGUAGUGUAUGUGUGCUCAGCAAUUGAAGCUCGCGGAGUCGCGGUUCUCACUGUUUUUGAAAAUGUCUGAUCGUGGCAAGAGAAAGAAAACUGUCGUGGAAUUGUAUGACAAGAAGAGAAAGACAUCAGAAGAAAGAAACAAGACCAGAGUGUUUUUGGGAGAAAGUUUUACACGCUGGUGUGCGCUUAAAACACAGAUUGGACUUCCCACUGAUGCCUCAGUCGCGAAGGUUCUACUGGACAGCUAUGAUAAAAUUACAUCCACUCCGCUGACACACACUCAAUGGGUCAGACCCCAGCCUCCAGAUGUGUCCACAAUUAUGGAGUCACUGUCUGAUCGGUGUGUAAUUUAUAGACAAGCGGAUUUCUCUGUGAAGGGAGUCGAGAAAAUGGCCAGCAGUAGUGCCAGUGGGGAAGAAAGCACUGUUCCACAAGAGGAAGCAUGGGCCUCAACUAGUGUAAAUAUUGAUGAAGAUGCCUUCAACAAUCUACAAAAUUCAAUGUAAGUGUCACCAGGUGACUAUGUAGGGCAAUAACAAAAAGUGGCGGAGAAGGGUUCCACUUGGGUAUGGUUUCCACCCGCACCCAAUUUUAAAGGCACCAUUGUAUUUCCUGGUCUCCCUGACAACAAAAAUCAUGAGAAAUGAGCAACAGGUGUGGCGAAUCAGUGGAGCAACCCGCGAUUGGAAGAGGGAGUGAAGACAAGCACAUAAAGAGGUCCAAGAAGCACAAAGGAAGAAGAGUUUGCUUGGUGUGUGUUUUUCUUGUGUUUGAGGUCCCUGGCCCCACUGGAGAGGGAAGCGUGGGCGAGCCGCGGGUUGACCGGAAACACGGAAGAGAUAUUUGGUAAGAAGCGCCGUUUACUAAUAGAGCAGUGGCCCUGCGGGAAAAGGAAACGUGGGUGAGCCAGAGGAGUGAUUAACAACACGCCGGGGCUGUGAAUAACAUACAUCUUACCCUCAUCGGUGGCCUAACGAUCGCCCAACUAUCCUCUCGAGGGAAUCGAAGCAAAGUGGCUAGGUCGAUUAAGAAUCACAUGAAGUGUGUACAAGAGUGCUGUGGGUGAGUUUCACUUCUUAUUGGUGUUUACGCUAUGCUUGCUGUGUGUAUGCUGUGCUUGUAGCGACCAAACUGCCCAGCCUCGGACGAAUCGCGAGAUGACGACAUCUGUGGUGGCCUGAGCCAUACGGAGAGAGAGGAACACUAAGUCUUUGGCCCCGGGUGUGUCAACGAGAGCUUCACUCCUCCAAAGAGCAGACAGUGGUGAAACCCAGUGAGUAUUGUAGAAAGCGCACCGUGCAGAUUGAAGGUCAUACAGCUCGUGGUGUGCGGAGCCCCGACGAGAGUUCGCCCCAAUUCGAGACCCUGGUCGUGGAAGUAGGAGGGGGAGUUUGGGAAGCGUUCGGCUCCGCGCCACUGGACCCACCAGUCCCUACGACGCCCGGACAGCUUGAGUGGAUGGGUGAAGGAAUACGGUGCACCAACGCUGUAGCGAAAGUCCACUGUCUGUGAGUGAGCGUAAAGAUCCCCAGUGCAGUGAGUAACCUAUUCGGUGAAGUGAAAUUAACCUGUGCUUAAAGCAAUUAACUACCUGUGUCCCAGCGAAGGCUCUGUGUGAAUGAAGAUCCCCAGUGCUGUGAGUAACGUAUCCUGUGAAGUGAAAUUAAUCUGUGCUUAUAGCAAUUACUUACCUGUGUCCCAGCGAAGGCUUUGUGUGAAUGAAGAUCCCCAGUGCUGUGAGUAACGUAUCCUGUGAAGUGAAAUUAAUCUGUGCUUAUAGCAAUUACUUACCUGUGUCCCAGCGAAGGCUCUGUGUGAAUGAAGAUCCCCAGUGUCGGGAGUAACGUAUCCUGUGAAGUGAAAUUAAUCUGUGCUUAUAGCAAUUACUUACCUGUGUCCCAGCGAAGGCUCUGGUGUGAACGAAGCCCUCAGUACUGUGAGUUGUCUCCCUGAACGUCUUGCUAACGAUUCUCUGCUUCCAGGAUCCGAAGAGCAACGUGCCUAAGGCGCAGGAGAGAGAGAGAGAAAAACGGAGAGCUAGAGAAGUAGUGACCCGUAGCAAAGUACAGUGGAUAAUUCUUGUUUGAUUCUGCCUCCAGGAAGAAGCGGAGCGCGCCACGGGUUUUAGGAUCGGAGCCCCAAAGAAGCCCCUGUCCCCCGUCCUGGUCAUAAGUGGCCCUGGAGGCGAGAAGAAGUCCCAUCAGUUUUAAAUUGCCUUUUUCCCUUUCCCCUUUUUCUCCUUUUUUUAAAUAUUUAAAUAAAGUUUAUUUUAAACGUAGUUUACUCGUCUGUCUGGUCAUUGGGGUGGUCUUGGGAAACUCCUCGAGGUGGAAGAGUUGAGAGGGGCGUGACCUUUAGUUAUUCGGGUCCGCCCCCGGCCGUGACAUAAGUAUUACUGUUUUAGGGGCUUUAUUUGAGAUACUGAAAGUGCCACUAAUAUUACUUUAUUCAAAAGGAUUGACUGGGAUGAUGAAACUUGGACUCCAGAUACAGAGACACAAUCAAAGUCAUCCUCAGAAGAUGAUGACACUGAGGAGAUGGAACUCUCGGGUGAAACCCAUGAAACCUUCGUUGACAUAGUUGAAGCAGAAGACCUGGAUCCUCAAAUAUGCAUUAGAUCUGUUGUUGCCCUCCCAAAUGGAAUGUCAUUAGAGAAUUAUCCAGUGAUUGGCCUUGAUGAGACUGUGCACGAUGACCCGGAAAUUAAUGAAGAUGAAAGGCAGGAAGUUGCCACACCACCAGACGCACCUAUGGUACUCACAGAGGAAGACGUCAUCGGUCGGCCCACAUCUAUAGUUUAUCUGGACAUUUUAAAGCAGCUGCUGGACUUCCUUAUUCUUCCAAUUGAAAAAUGCACAGUGAAGGAUUCCAUCACAAAGGCACCCUGUAAUGCAGUUAAGCCAUUUGAGGUUUCUGUAAAAUCAAGGUGCUCAGCUGUCAUUGCAGAAUGGAUAUGUCCAAAUGGUCACACUGUUUGGAAGUGGAGUUCACAGCGGUAUUUCAAGUAUGGAAUGCUCGCUGGGGAUUUUAUGUUGGGUGUAAACAUCCUCUUGUCUGGAAACAACUUCCGGAAAAUAGCUCUGCUCUUCAAGUUUAUGAACUUGGGGAUGAUAGACCGGAAUACAUUCUACAAAAUCCAAAACUAAUUUUGUCUGCUGAAUAUUGAAGAUAUGUGGAAGAGGGAGAGUAGCAAUGUCAUCAGCCAGUUGAGUUCAAAGGACUCUGUUGUGCUCCUUGAUUAGUUUAUUACACCACUACAUCUGAAAUAUUAUUAUAAUUUUCUGUCGACAUUCUGUUACUCAUUUUCAAAACAUUUAAUCCGUUUAUAUUUGUCAUUAUAAGGUGAUGCUAGGAUGGACAGUCCAGGGUUCUGUGCUGAAUUCUGCACGUACACCACAAUGGAGAAUGACACAAAAAAAUUGUGUCGAUUGUCAACAUGGACAAACGACAGGUCGGAGGGAACUCUGUGGCUAUGGAGAAGGCAACAUUCAUGGAGACCAUGGACACACUGUGUCCAAAGUGGGGGAAUGUGAAGGAAUUUUGCACUGAUGCCAAUAUACAAAUAUCAGCACUUUUUAACAGUGGCCAAUACAAAGACUGUGGUGUGAAACACAGCCUGGAUAUCUGGCAUGGUGCAAAGGACCUCAGUAAAAAGAUUCUGGCUGCCGGACAUUAGAAGGACUGUGCCCUGCUUCUGAGUUGGAACAGAGAUAUUUGCAACCACUUUUGGUACAGCUGUAAAGAAGCAGAAACGUUUGAAGCUUUUAACAAUCUCUGGACAGGAGUUCUGCAUCAUGUGACUGGCGUACAUGAGUGGUACUUUGGGGCCUGUCGACAUGGCCCUUUGGAGGAAGACAGAAAUAAAGAAUGGAUUCCAAAGGGCUAUGCAGCACACAGAAGACUCCAAACAAUCGUUUAUGAUGCACGCUGGUUGAAAAACAUACCAAAGUAUCUCUCUUUCAGAUCGACCGCAGACCUUGAGUCCUUCCACAAUCAUAUUCUUAUGUAUGCCUCAAAGCGCUUCUGCUUCAAAGCACCAGUGUACUAUGCUCGGACCCUGUUGGCAGGGCUGAAUUAUAACUACCACCUAAGCCGAGGAGCUCGAACAAAUGCAGAUGGCUCACAUCAGUAUGGCAGAAUUUUUAACAAAAGAUCUAAGAUGUGGCGGCUGUACACCAUCAAGAAUCCAAAAACCUACAAGUACAUCCCAGAUCUACAGAGCGCCAUUCUCCGUUCAAGACUGUUGGCUCCUAGAGGGAUGACAGGAAAGCAGCCUCUUGCACUUGAUGAUCCACGAAGGCUGGGGCUUUUGUCUGGAGGGCCUGCACCCACAGUACAAGAAUUAAAGGAAAAGAAAGCCAGCCGAGGACUAGGUCAACCAUCUCACAAAUGACCUGUCAGUAGAUUUGGUGCUUGAAGAGAAUGUGAUUUUGGAAGUUUAGAUGGAUAUAAAGGGUGACAUCUAAUUUCCCCUGUACAGAAUGUGCCAUAUCAAAAAUGUUCUGGUAAAUGUAUGCCAUGUAUAAAAGAACAGUAUAUAAUUUGUAUAUUACAGCAAA